GUUGGAGAAUAAUUAAAGCUCUUUGUCUCCCAGGACUCUGAGUCUGUCUCCAGCACUGUUGGAGAACAGAACAGGACCACCGGGUUCUACGUGAUGUUCUCCACAGCAGCAGACAGGAACAGAACAUUUGAUUGAAAUAUAUCCACACUGAAAUACACGCAGAGACCAGACAGGAAGUGGAUCCUCUGACCAAUGUUCAACCCUCAGAAGGUCUCAUUUAACUCACUGUAGAUCAUUUUGAAGUCCUGCAGCUCUGUGGAAUCGGAACACCAUGAAGAUGGAGAGAGAACUCAGAACAUCUUCUGUCAGGAGGACUCACAAUGAUGGAAACCAGAAGAAAGAACCAUUUAUUUGAUUAUUUAUUUUACUAAAACACUAAAACAUGGAACCACCAUGUUUCUCCUUAGAUGUUAAACCUGAACUCUCGGUGUCUCCUCAGACUUCUGUGGAGGUUCAGUCAUCCAGAUCCUGGUGAUGGACCUGGAUGACAUUUCUAGAAACGUCUUCCAGAAUCUCCUGUUGGUUUCUCCUGAAGUUCCUAUCAUCUCCUCAUCCUGUAGAUGUUUUUCUGUCUCCAGAUGUUUCCUCUCUACUCUGCUCACCGUCUGUAGAAUAUGUUCCACCAUGCUGGAUGGAUCUCCAACUACUAGAAGAUGUUCCACCAUGCUGGAUGGAUCUCCAACUACUAGAAGAUGUUCCACCAUGCUGGAUGGAUCUCCAACUACUAGAAGGUGUUCCACCAUGCUGGAUGGAUCUCCAACUACUAGAAGAUGUUCCACCAUGCUGAAUGGAUCUCCAACUACUAGAAGAUGUUCCUCCAUGCUGAAUGGAUCUCCAUCUAUUAGAAGAUGUUCCACCAUGCUGGAUGGAUCUCCAACUACUAGAAGAUGUUCCUCCAUGCUCGAUGGAUCUCCAACUACUAGAAGAUGUUCCACCAUGCUGGAUGGAUCUCCAACUACUAGAAGAUGUUCCACCAUGCUGGAUGGAUCUCCAACUACUAGAAGAUGUUCUUCCAUGCUGAUCUCCAACACCCUGCUCCUCUGUUCUCCAUUUCUGUUGCAUUUUUUUAUUGGUUUUCUUCUCAGUCUCUCUGAGGAACCACUGCCUGAAGGUCAACCUGAACUCCAAACACAUAGAAUAAAAAGCUUUUCAUGAAUUUUUAUCAUUUAAACUCAGGUUUGGUUUCUUUUCUUGAGGGAACAUCACAGAUGGUGUGUUCAAGGACAGUCAGAAGGUUGAAAAGUUGAUCAUUCUAUCUAUCUUCUGACUGAGUUCAGAGGGUUAAAGGCUGUAAAAUAACACGAACAUUGAACAAUCUUCUAAAAUAGGAAUCACAGAACCUUCACUCUGGUUUUAUUUUUGAACUCUUUUUAAACCAUCUUGUCUAUAAGUUGCUUCUCUCUUCAGUUUACUCUACAAACAAUCUGUUUCAAGUUCAGAAAAAGAUGAAUGUUUGGUUCAAUGACAGCAGCUUCUAAGAUCUCCUCCACAAGAACGUCUCUGAGGAACAUCUUCCUCUUCAUAAAAAUAAUCAGUUAGACAUUAGUCUGUGAAGACACGACAUAUGGUAGGGGGUUAAAGGCUGGAGGUACAGGUCCAACAGGAUGUUCUACAGCUGAACUAAAGGACGUUCUACAGCCGAACUAAAAGAUGUUCUACAGCUGAAGUAAAGGAUGUUCUACAGCUGAAGUAAAGGAUGUUCUACACCUGAGCAGGUCACAGUGAAGUCAGUAUCUAUGGAUAAGUUGUGUUUAUUUUGGACUUUAUGUCCAUGAUAAAGGUUCCAUCAACAGUCAGAACCUCCAGAUACA